GACUGAUCCUAUCUAUUUAGUUUGAGUUAGGUUUUAUUUUUGACCACCCAUGACAGUGAUCAACUUUCAAAUCAAGUAGUUGGUUGACGUCAGCUUGAUCAUAGUGCCCGUUGAAUAUUGAUCCUUCAUCUAUUAGCAUCUCAAUUAUUUCUUCAGUACUCUGAAUUCAGGAAACCAAGUUUUGAUACUACUUAUUGGGAUUCAAGUACUUGAAAGAUA
rnacentral:lncRNA from 1 species